rnacentral:misc_RNA from 1 species
CCGAGUGAGGGCCUUCAACCCUUAAACCUGUGGAAGUGAGACGUGCUUCGGCCCUCUCUCGGGAGGGCCGUCUCUAUGCAGAAUCAAGUCUUGUGUCUGAAUCCAAUAAAGAUUUA